CCUAUGAAGCUUUACUGUAGCCUGAUAUUGAGUUUGGGUUUAUUUUGCGCAGUAUAGGUGGGAGGCUAAGAAAAUAUAUUUGUGGAUAUAUUAGAGCCGAUAGUGAGAUACCACUCUAAUUAAACUAGAAUUCUAACCUUGAUUGCCAUUAGCUGGCCAAGGAACAGUUUCAGGUGGGCAGUUUGACUGGGGCGGUCGCCUCCUAAAAGGUAACGGAGGCGCGCAAAGGUUUCCUCAGGCUGGUCGGAAAUCAGUCGUAGAGUGUAAAGGCAUAAGGAAGCUUGACUGCAAGACUUACAAGUCGAGCAGAGACGAAAGUCGGCCUUAGUGAUCCGACAGUGCUGAGUGGAAAGGCUGUCGCUCAACGGAUAAAAGUUA
rnacentral:rRNA from 1 species